AUAGCGUAUAUUAAAGUUGUUGCAGUUAAAAAGCUCGUAGUUGAAUUUUGGACUCGGCUGUUGUGGUCGGCCGCAUAGGUCUGUACUCUUCUGGCCGGGUCUUUCCUUCUGGAAAACCGUCAUGCCAUUUAUUUGGUGUGGCGGAGAUCCAGGACUUUUACCUUGAAAAAAUUAGAGUGUUUAAAGCAGGCAUACGCUUGAAUACAUUAGCAUGGAAUAAUAGAAUAGGACUUUGGUUCUAUUUUGUUGGUUUCUAGGACCGAAGUAAUGAUUAAUAGGGACAGUUGGGGGCAUUAGUAUUUAAUUGUCAGAGGUGAAAUUCUUGGAUUUAUGAAAGACUAACUUCUG
rnacentral:rRNA from 1 species